rnacentral:pre_miRNA from 1 species
GUCUUACCAGGCAAGGUUAGAUCUGGCUAUUUUGUCUAAUACUGUCUGGUAAUGCCGU